rnacentral:pre_miRNA from 1 species
GGGGGGAGGCCGGAUCCUGGGCUGUCUCCCCAGCGCCCUGUGCUCCGGGGCCUGCGCUGUUGGAUUCGCGCUCCCAGCCGCGCAGCCCCCU